rnacentral:rRNA from 1 species
UACGUAGGGGGCAAGCGUUGUCCGGAUUUAUUGGGCGUAAAGCGCGUGUAGGCGGCCAUACAGGUCCGUUGUGAAAACUCGAGGCUUGACCUCGAGACGUCGAUGGAAACCGUAUGGCUAGAGUCCGGAAGAGGAGAGUGGAAUUCCUGGUGUAGCGGUGAAAUGCGCAGAUAUCAGGAAGAACACCCGUGGCGAAGGCGGCUCUCUGGGACGGUACUGACGCUGAGACGCGAAAGCGUGGGGAGCGAACAGG